CGGAGGGUGCGAGCGUUAAUCGGAAUUACUGGGCGUAAAGCGUGCGUAGGCGGUUUGAUAAGUCGGGUGUGAAAGCCCCGGGCUUAACCUGGGAAUUGCAUUCGAUACUAUCUGACUCGAGUCUGGGAGAGGGAAGCGGAAUUCCGGGUGUAGCGGUGAAAUGCGUAGAUAUCCGGAGGAACAUCAGUGGCGAAGGCGGCUUCCUGGCCUAAGACUGACGCUGAGGUACGAAAGCGUGGGGAGCAAACAGGAUUAGAUACCCUGGUAGUCCACGCUGUAAACGAUGAGAACUAGCCGUUGGGAAGGUUUAACUUUUUAGUGGCGCAGCUAACGCGAUAAGUUCUCCGCCUGGGGAGUACGGCCGCAAGGUUG
rnacentral:rRNA from 1 species